CCCUGAUACAGGCAUGAGACACAAGUAGAAGUGAUGCAGAAGAUGUACCUAUGUUCAUCUCUUCAGAAAAUGCUACAGGUACUGGGGAUCAACUCUAGGGCCUUAUAUAUACUAUACAUACUUCAAAAGUACCUCAAAUCGUAUAUAAUAACUGAACGGCUGGAAACUCUCAGUGAAGAAGCAGGGG